UUGACAGUUUUAUAGAGAUUUUUUUUAGUCUGGCCUGCAUACUUGUUGAUGGGUAACUCUUAUCUUGAGUCCAAGUUUCACUAAAUUCGGGAUAAAGAAUUCCCAAAAACUGGAUGAAUAGGUAUUUAUAUGUUUGUUCCAUAAAGUUAUAAUUUAGCUUAUAUGGCUUGCUAUGGAUACCUAGAACAAAUAGAUGAUAGAACUUAUAUAUAGAUGAUCUAUAUAUGUAUAACUGCAUAAGUCCUACUAGCUGCAAUAGGAAGACGCUAGGAUUAAGUUACUACUGCAUGUACUUUUACUUUUGAUUGUUGGACUUUACUGAAAGCACUGCAAUAGGAAGAUGCUAGGAUUAAGUUUUUGAGACUCCUUUCUGAAAGCACUGCACUGGAAGCCUGAAUUUUUGGCUUAUAAAAACAGGGGCUGCUUUAGGUGCUGGUUUUGCUUCUCUAUUUUUGAAAGAAAUCAGA